rnacentral:tRNA from 1 species
GAGGGUGUAGCUCAGUGGUAGAGUACUUGCCUAAAGUCCAUGAGGCUCUAGGUUUGAUCCCUAGAACUUCA